CCUACGGGAGGCAGCAGUGAGGAAUAUUGGUCAAUGGACGAGAGUCUGAACCAGCCAAGUAGCGUGAAGGAUGACUGCCCUAUGGGUGGUAAACUUCUUUUAUAAGGGAAUAAAAUGAGGCACGUGGGGGAUUUUGUAUGUACCAUAUGAAUAAGGAUCGGCUAACUCCGUGCCAGCAGCCGCGGUAAUACGGAGGAUCCGAGCGUUAUCCGGAUUUAGGGGGUGUAACGGGAGCGUAGGUGGCUUGUUAAGGCAGUUGUGAAAGUUUGCGGCUCAACCGUAAAAUUGCAUUUGAAACUGGCAGUCUUGAGUACAGUUGAGGUCGGCGGCAUUCGUGGUGUAGCGGUGAACUUCUUAGAUAUCAC
rnacentral:rRNA from 1 species